AAGAAGAUGAAAUACUUAUGCAUUAUUGGGAGGGCCAGGCUCCUGUUACAUUUUUCUUUGAAUUGAAAACAUUGGCCAACAUAGACUUUCAACAUUUUUUGAAUUGUUUUAUCUUCUAUAUUUUCUAUGAAAAUAAUGUCAUGUAUUUUCUUCGAAUGAUUCACAUCAAUACAUGACACAAGAUUAAUAAAACUUUGCGGUUUAGUAUUUGUUUCUUUAAGAUCAGACAUUUGGUUCAUGCUUUAUUGUUGUAAAUAAGUUUCAUUCAAAAUGUACAUGCUUUUUACUGACGCAAAUAUUCAUUUUCAUUAUGAUGAUUCUAAUAUUUCGUGUUUGUUUUUAAUGAAUACAAGCGACAUGGCUGUGUUUUUAUUUUAACUCCAACAUAAUGUGACGAUGACUACGAUGAAAGUGAUGAUGAGGUUGUGUUAUUUUUAUACAAAGAGAGGAUAUAAAAGUACAAAACUAAU
rnacentral:misc_RNA from 1 species